CUACAUUUUUCAGUAGAUUGCUCUAGGUUAUAGCCACUAACAAUUACUUAUACAUAAAAAUUUUCUUUUGAGUCAUUAGCCAAUUUGGGGGGCCUCUCAGGAGAAACUGCAUAAUUCACUGGGUGAAUGCAAGUUCAUUGCUCUUGGAGGCUGUGAUAGCAUAAUCAUUGCUUGCUGUAUUCAUGGUCAGUACACCUUCUGAUUUGUUUUUAGUAGUAGUUUUGCCAUAUUCAAAGAAGAGCUCAAUCUGAGGAGACUCCUUGAUUUGACCUUACUUUGGCAUAGCUAGCAUAUUACCUUAAGUUAGUGUUUGCCAUCUAUUUUGUUCCCUGACAUUCUCUGUUGACGUUUUAUGCCCCGCCCCCCGUGUCCAGCUCCCCUCCUCACAAUCCCUGCCCCCUGCUGCCAUCUUUAGCACUGGAAAGUUAAGAGUUUUGAUCUCAGAGUUCAUCAACUCAAGCUUUUGCUUUUUAUUUGUAAAAGAACCAUGUGAAGCUGGGCUCAGUGGCAUACACCUGUAGUCCCAGGUACUUGGGAGGCUGAGGCAGGAGGAUUAUUCGAACUCAGGAGUAUGGGUCCAGCCUGGAUAACGUAAUGAGACCUCCAUCUUGAAAAAGGA
rnacentral:lncRNA from 1 species